rnacentral:rRNA from 1 species
GAUGAACGCUGGCGGCGUGCCUAAUACAUGCAAGUCGAGCGAACAGACGAGGAGCUUGCUCCUCUGACGUUAGCGGCGGACGGGUGAGUAACACGUGGAUAACCUACCUAUAAGACUGGGAUAACUUCGGGAAACCGGAGCUAAUACCGGAUAAUAUAUUGAACCGCAUGGUUCAAUAGUGGAAGACGGUUUUGCUGUCACUUAUAGAUGGAUCCGCGCCGCAUUAGCUAGUUGGUAAGGUAACGGCUUACCAAGGCGACGAUGCGUAGCCGACCUGAGAGGGUUAUCGGCCACACUGGAACUGAGACACGGUCCAGACUCCUACGGGAGGCAGCAGUAGGGAAUCUUCCGCAAUGGGCGAAAGCCUGACGGAGCAACGCCGCGUGAGUGAUGAAGGUCUUCGGAUCGUAAAACUCUGUUAUUAGGGAAGAACAAAUGUGUAAGUAACUAUGCACGUCUUGACGGUACCUAAUCAGAAAGCCACGGCUAACUACGUG